rnacentral:rRNA from 1 species
AUUGAACGCUGGCGGCAGGCCUAACACAUGCAAGUCGAACGAGUGGCGGACGGGGGAGUAAUGUCUGGGAAACUGACUGAUGGAGGGGGAUAACUACUGGAAACGGUAGAUAAUACCGCAUACCAUCAGAAGGGCCCAGAUGGGAUUAGCUAGUUGGUGGGGUAACGGCUCACCAAGGCGACGAUCCCUAGAUGGUGUGAGAGGAUGACCAGCCACACUGUAACUGAUACACGGUCCAGACUCCUACUGGAGGCAGCAGUGGGGCAUGUUUCACAAUGGGCGCAAGCCUGGUGCAGCCAUGCCGAGUGUAUGAAUGAGGCCUUCGGGUUGUAAAGUACUUUCAGCGUGGAGGCGUUACCCGCAGAAGAAGCACCGGCUAACUCCGUGCCAGCAGCCGCGGUAAUUC